CUAGUCUGUCUGGCCAUAGGACAGACUGUACAGGGAAAGGGUUGUUUGGAAGAAAAUUGAAAAGAGAGACCAGAAAUGCAUUUCAUAUUUGCAAAAGGAGUAUGUGCAAGUCUCAGGUGCCAAAUUUAAUUCAUAUCAGAUGUAAAAUCAUUAUUACAGAUGGAACUAUUUACAUGUGAAGGCAAUGAAACAGCCUUGUUAUCAGACAAGAUGUCAUCACUACAAGAAACAGACACAGAAGGCAAUGCAACAACUUUGCUAUCAUUACAAGAAGCAGAUACAGGACAAACAGAAGUAGAAGAACAAUUAACAGAGAGAGAAGGGGAAGAAGGAACCCAAGCUAGUUUAUACAGGCCAGCAGCUUCUCUACCAAGAUCCAGUGGCCUCCUCAGAGAAGGGUCCUGUAUCAUGUGUAG
rnacentral:lncRNA from 1 species